rnacentral:rRNA from 1 species
AUACGUAGGGGGCAAGCGUUAUCCGGAUUUACUGGGUGUAAAGGGAGCGUAGACGGCAUGGCAAGUCUGAUGUGAAAACCCGGGGCUCAACCCCGGGAUUGCAUUGGAAACUGUCAAGCUAGAGUGCAGGAGAGGUAAGUGGAAUUCCUAGUGUAGCGGUGAAAUGCGUAGAUAUUAGGAGGAACACCAGUGGCGAAGGCGGCUUACUGGACUGUAACUGACGUUGAGGCUCGAAAGCGUGGGGAGCAAACAGGAUUAGAUUCCCUGGUAGUCCACGCCGUAAACGAUGAAUACUAGGUGUUGGGAGGAACUAUCCUUUCGGUGCCGCAGCAAACGCAAUAAGUAUUCCACCUGGGGAGUACGUUCGCAAGAAUGAAACUCAAAGGAAUUGACGGGG